GUGCCAGCAGCCGCGGUAAUACAGAGGAUGCAAGCGUUAUCCGGAAUCACUGGGCAUAAAGCGUCUGUAGGUUGUUUAGUAAGUCUGCUGUUAAAGACUGGGGCUUAACCCCAGAAAAGCAGUGGAAACUGCUAGACUCGAGUGUGGUAGAGGUAGAGGGAAUUCCUAGUGUAGCGGUGAAAUGCGUAGAUAUUAGGAAGAACACCAAUGGCGAAGGCACUCUACUGGGCCAUAACUGACACUGAGAGACGACAGCUAGGGGAGCAAACGGGAUUAGAUACCCCGGUAGUCCUAGCCGUAAACGAUGGAUACUAGAUGUUGCACGUAUUAACCCGUGCAGUAUCGUAGCUAAGGCGUUAAGUAUCCCGCCUGGGAAGUACGCUCGCAAGAGUGAAACUUAAAUGAAUUGACGGGG
rnacentral:rRNA from 1 species